GACGGAGGAUGCAAGUGUUAUCCGGAAUCACUGGGCGUAAAGCGUCUGUAGGUGGUUUAAUAAGUCAACUGUUAAAUCUUGAGGCUCAACCUCAAAAUCGCAGUCGAAACUAUUAGGCUAGAGUAUAGUAGGGGUAAAGGGAAUUUCCAGUGGAGCGGUGAAAUGCGUAGAGAUUGGAAAGAACACCGAUGGCGAAGGCACUUUACUGGGCUAUUACUAACACUCAGAGACGAAAGCUAGGGGAGCAAAUGGG
rnacentral:rRNA from 1 species